rnacentral:rRNA from 1 species
UACGGGGGGGGCAAGCGGUUGUUCGGAAUUACUGGGCGUAAAGGGCUCGUAGGCGGCCAACUAAGUCAGACGUGAAAUCCCUCGGCUUAACCGGGGAACUGCGUCUGAUACUGGAUGGCUUGAGGUUGGGAGAGGGAUGCGGAAUUCCAGGUGUAGCGGUGAAAUGCGUAGAUAUCUGGAGGAACACCGGUGGCGAAGGCGGCGAUCC